rnacentral:rRNA from 1 species
AGUAUAGGAGAUAGAAAUUCUAAAUACGGCGCUAUAGAGAAAGUACUGCAAGGGAACGAUGAAAGAAAAAAAUUAAAGUACAAAAAAGCAAAGAUUACCCUUUGUAACUUUGCAUAAUGAAUUAACUAGCAAAAAACUUAACAAAAUUAGUUUCAGCUAAGCAACCUGAAACCAGACGAGCUACCUAUGAACAGUUUAUUAAGAACCAACUCAUCUAUGUGGCAAAAUAGUAAGAAGAUUUGUAAGUAGAGGUGACACGCCUAAGGAGCCUGGUGAUAGCUGGUUGUCCAGAAAAUGAAUUUCAGUUCAGCUUUAAAGAUACCAAAAAUCCAAAUAAAUCUCACUGUAUCUUUAAAAAUUAGUCUAAAAGGUACAGCCUUUUAGAAAUGGGUACAACCUUGACUAGAGAGUAAGAUCCAACAAUACCAUAAGAGGCCUAAUAGCAGCCAUCAAUUUAGACAGUGUUAAAGCUCAACAAUAAAAAUAAUACUAAUCCCAAUAACAAACAACUAACUCCUAGCCCUAAUACUGGACUAAUCUAUUAUAAAAUAGAAGUGAUAAUGUUAAUAUGAGUAACAAGAAACAUUUUCUCCCUGCAUAAGUUUGAGUCAGUAUCUGAAAAUAUCCUAUUAACAGUAAAUAAAAAUAACCCAAUGAUAAAUAAUUUAUUAAUUACACUGUUAAUCCAACACAGGAAUGCACCUUAGGAAAAAUUAAAAGAAGUAAAAGGAACUCGGCAAACACAAACCCCGCCUGUUUAUCAAAAACAUCACCUCCAGCAUCCCUAGUAUUGGAGGCACUGCCUGCCCAGUGGCAACCGUUAAAUGGCCACAGUAUCCUGACCAUAAAAAGGUAGCAUAAUCAUUUGUUCUCUAAAUAAAGACUUGUAUGAAUGGCCACACGAGGGUUUUACUUACUUCCAAUCAGUGAAAUUGAUCUUCCCGUGAGGAGGCGGGAAUAGACUAAUAAGACGAGAAGACACUAUGGAGCUUUAACUAACUAGCCCAAAGAAAACAAACUCAACCAUUAUGGGACAACAACACUCUUUAUGGACUAGCAGUUUUGGUUGGGGUGACCUCUGAGAACAAAAAAUCCUCUGAGCGAUUUUAAAGACUAGACCCACAAGUCAAAUCACACUAUAGCUUUUUGACCCAAAAAUUUGAUCAACAGAACAAGUUACCCUAGGGAUAACAGCGCAAUCCUAUUCGAGAGUCCAUAUAAACAAUAGGGUUUAUAACCUCGAUGUUGGAUUAGGACACCCCGAUGGUGCAACCGCUAUCAAAGGUUCAUUUGUUCAACGAUUAAAGUCCUACAUGAUCUGAGUUCAGACCAGAGCGAUCCAGGUCGGUUUCUAUCUAUUACGUAUUUCUCCCAGUACAAAAGGGCAAGAGAAAUAAGGCCAAUUUCAAAAAGUGCCUUAAAUCAAUUAAUGAUCUUAUCUUAAUUAAUCUCAUAAAUAAAUCCUGCCCUAGAAAAGGGCUUAGUUAAAGUGGCAGAGCCUGGUAAUUGGGUAAAACUUAAACCUU